rnacentral:rRNA from 1 species
UACGGAGGAUGUAAGCGUUAUCCGGAAUGAUUGGGCGUAAAGCGUCCGCAGGUGGUUGUGUUUGUCUAUUGUCAAAGCAUCAUGCUUAACAUGAUAAAGGCAGUAGAAACUACACGACUAGAGUGCGUUCGGGGCAGAGGGAAUUCCUGGUGUAGCGGUGAAAUGCGUAGAGAUCAGGAAGAACACCGGUGGCGAAAGCGCUCUGCUAGGCCGCAACUGACACUGAGGGACGAAAGCUAGGGGAGCGAAUGUG